rnacentral:rRNA from 1 species
AUUGAACGCUGGCGGCGUGCCUAACACAUGCAAGUCGAGCGGUAACAGGUGUAGCAAUACAUGCUGACGAGCGGCGAACGGGUGAGUAAUGCUUCGGAAUCUACCUUAUGGUGGGGAAUAACUAGCCGAAAGGUUAGCUAAUACCGCAUACGUCCUACGGGAGAAAGCAGGGGAUCGCAAGACCUUGCGCCAAAAGAUGAGCCGAAGUCGGAUUAGCUAGUUGGUAGGGUAACGGCCUACCAAGGCGAAGAUCCGUAGCUGGUCUGAGAGGACGACCAGCCACACUGGGACUGAGACACGGCCCCGACUCCUCAGGGAGGCAGCAGUGGGGAAUAUUGGACAAUGGGGGAAACCCUGAUCCAGCGACGCCGCGUGUGUGAAGAAGGCCUGCGGGUUGUAAAGCACUUUUAGUGGGGAUGAAAUGUGCAGGGUUAAUACCUCUGCAUUUUGACCUAACCCACAGAAAAAGCACCGGCUAACUCUGUGCCAGCAGCCGCAGUAA